rnacentral:rRNA from 1 species
UACGGAGGGGGCUAGCGUUGUUCGGAAUUACUGGGCGUAAAGCGUGCGUAGGCGGUUUGUUAAGACAGGUGUGAAAUCCCCGGGCUUAACCUGGGAACUGCGCUUGUUACUGGCAGACUGGAGUGUGGCAGAGGGGGGUGGAAUUCCAGGUGUAGCAGUGAAAUGCGUAGAUAUCUGGAGGAACACCGAUGGCGAAGGCAGCCCCCUGGGCUAACACUGACGCUGAUGCACGAAAGCGUGGGGAGCAAACAGG